rnacentral:rRNA from 1 species
UACGGAGGGUGCAAGCGUUGCUCGGAAUUAUUGGGCGUAAAGGGUAGGUAGGUGGUCUCAUUUGUCUGGGGUGAAAGCCUUGAGCUUAACUCAAGAAGUGCCUCAGAAACGGUGAGACUAGAGUCCUGGAGAGGGUCGUGGAAUUCCCGGUGUAGCGGUGAAAUGCGUAGAGAUCGGGAGGAACACCAGAGGCGAAGGCGGCGACCUGGACAGGUACUGACACUCAACUACGAAAGCGUGGGGAGCAAACAGG